rnacentral:rRNA from 1 species
CAGGACGAACGCUGGCGGCGUGCCUAAUACAUGCAAGUCGAACGGUCUUUCUAUGGAAGCUUGCUUCCACUGAGAAGAUAGUGGCGAACGGGUGAGUAACACGUGGGUAACCUGCCCAUAAGAGGGGGAUAACAUCCGGAAACGGGUGCUAAUACCGCAUAGUUUUCUUGAUCGCAUGAUUGAGAAAGGAAAGACGGCCUUUGUGCUGUCGCUUAUGGAUGGACCCGCGGCGUAUUAGUUAGUUGGUGAGGUAACGGCUCACCAAGACGAUGAUACGUAGCCGACCUGAGAGGGUGAUCGGCCACAUUGGGACUGAGACACGGCCCAAACUCCUACGGGAGGCAGCAGUAGGGAAUCUUCCGCAAUGGACGAAAGUCUGACGGAGCAACGCCGCGUGAGUGAAAGAAGGUUUUCGGAUCGUAAAACUCUGUUGUCAGAGAAGAACAAGUUGGAGAGUAACUGCUCCAGCCUUGACGGUAUCUGACCAGAAAGCCACGGCUAACUACGUGCCAGCCGCCGC